UAGAAAGUUUCAACGUUCAGGCAAUGCAUGAUUUUCUUUAUCAUCGGCUUCACUUAGACAAUUAUGAUCAUCUGGAAUUUCCCGGGGUGGUUCCUCGCACUUUCAUCGGUGCUUUGUUGGUGUCUCUUGUUGCGGCUCCAUUUGUGUUAGUUGUAAAUUUGCUGCACUUGCCAAAGUUUUAUGCUCUUGUUACAGUUCGGAUGGCCCUAGGGAGCAUUACCCUAUAUACACUAAGAUUCUUCCGUCACAAGAUAAGGAGUAAAUUUGGGCAUCAAGUAGAAGCCUUCUUUGUGAUACUAACUGCCAUUCAAUUUCACUUCCUUUUCUAUUGUACUCGUCCACUUCCUAACAUUCUUGCCUUAGCUGUAGUUAAUUUGGCAUAUGGAUACUGGCUUGAGGGGCGCUUUUAUGCAGCUCUGAACUCUCUGAUUUUUGCUACAACCGUAUUCAGAUGUGACAUAGUGUUACUUCUAGGCCCCCUUGGGCUACAAUUCCUCUUGACAAAAAAAAUUUCACUAUGGGGUGCUCUGAAACGUUGCACUAUGAUGGCCUUCUUCUGCAUAGGUAUAACCAUAUUGGUUGAUUCAAUCAUGUGGAAGAGGUUAUUGUGGCCUGAAUUUGAAGUCUUCUGGUUUAACUCUGUACUAAACAGGAGUUCUGAAUGGGGAACGCAUGCUUUCCACUGGUACUUCACCUCAGCACUUCCUCGUUCAUUGCUUGUUGCAUAUCCACUUUCACUGUUUGGUCUCAUUGUAGACAGAAGGGUUCGAUCUUACACUUUGCCAGUUCUUGCCUUUAUUUUGCUUUAUUCUAAGCUUCCCCACAAGGAGCUUCGUUUUAUUAUAAGUUCAGUACCAAUUUUCAACUUAUCAGCUUCGGUUGCAGCCAAUAGAAUUUACAACAAUAAGAGAAAGAUGAUCUGGAACUUGCUUUUCAUCAUUAUGUUGGGGUUGUUUCUAAUCAGUCUAGGAGGCACCAUCACAACUUUCAUGGCAUCAUACUGGAACUAUCCUAGUGGUCAUGCCUUAAAAAGAUUGCAUGCAAUUGGUUUUCACUUUGUCAUAAAGAUACACAUGAACAGUGGAUUCACAUUGAUACAUUUUCAGCCAUGAAUGGAAUAUCUCGCUUUUGUGAAAGUGAUUUCCCUUGGAGGUAUUCUAAAGAGGAAGAAAUAAGCAUGCAAGAACUUGCGCAAAGGAAUUUCACUUUUCUUAUAAAUGAACAUCCUAUGAUCAAUGGAUUCAAGUGUCUAUUUACUGAAGAUGGAUUCUCAAGAAUUCACUUGAAUCCGGGCUUUCCACCUGUUUUACUGGUUAAAAAUCCCAAAGUGUUUAUCCAUGGAAAUUUAAGGAACAUGGAUCUUUUCGACAAAAAUUGGCCUGGCUGCUCAUAAUCCCUGUCUGUAUCAUACAAGAUAUCGAACUCCAAGUUUGAACGGUAUUGUUUCCCUUUUUCCACUUCCCUAAAAGGAUCAUUAGGAAGGAGAAGAGAGUGCAAGUUUGUGUGAAGCUUAUAUUUUAAGAUCUACUAACAAUUGCAUGCCUAAGCCUUUUAGUGGUUAAUUGGGACUAGAAAUCUAGAGUAUUAACUUAAUCCUUUUCUGCUUGCAGAAUAGUUGAUCUUGUAAGUUGUAACAUUUGAGGAUUGAUUUCUCUAAAAAUGACUGUUACCAAAUUUUUGAGUCACAUAUGUUCAUCUGUACCGCAAUCUUCUUUGGCAUUACUUGAUGCUCUUCAGUCUUCACUGAUUUGUAAAUUAAUUUUGAACAAUUUUUGUUAGACAUAAUUGUUGUUCAAAUUGGUGUCUAUUGAUAUUA